AAAGCCUCAGCCUCGCGGCGGGAGCGCAUUUAUUAUUACAAAACCAAUCCGGCUCUGCCCGUUGUCUGGUGAAUCUUAAUAACUGAACCCAUCGCGUGGUCUCUGCACCGGCGACGUAUCAUUUUUGUGUCUGCCCUAUCUACUUUCGAUGGUAAUUUAUGUGACUACCAUGGUUAUAACGGGUAACGGAUAAUAAGGGUUCGACUCCGGAGAAGCAGCCUGAGAAACGGCUACUACAUCC
rnacentral:rRNA from 1 species